GCCCGGCUGGCGCAAUGGUAGCGCGCAAGACUUCUAUACGAGUGAUUCCAUCGCUUUAUCUUGAGGCUGUGGGUUCGAGUCCCACGUCGGGUG